rnacentral:tRNA from 1 species
UUAAUAGAAGCCAAAAAGAGGCUUUUCACUGUUAAUGAAAUAAUUGAUUACUCCUAUUAAG